rnacentral:rRNA from 1 species
CUACGGGUCGCUGCAGUGAGGAAUAUUGGACAAUGGAUGGCAAUCUGAUCCAGCCAUGCCGCGUGAAGGAAGAAUGUCCUAUGGAUUGUAAACUUCUUUUGUAUGGGAGCAAUAAGUUGUACGCGUACAAUGAUGAGAGUACCAUACGAAUAAGCAUCGGCUAACUCCGUGCCAGCAGCCGCGGUAAUACGGAGGAUGCGAGCGUUAUCCGGAUUUAUUGGGUUUAAAGGGUGCGUAGGCGGUUACUGUAAGUCAGCGGUGAAAUUUAGGGGCUUAACCCCUACCGUGCCGUUGAUACUGCAGAGCUGGAAUAGGGAUGCUGUUGGCGGAAUGUGUAGUGUAGCGGUGAAAUGCAUAGAUAUUACACAGAACACCGAUUGCGAAGGCAGCUGACAAAUCCCUUAUUGACGCUGAUGCACGAAAGUGUGGGGAUCGAACAGGAUUAGAUACCCCUGUAGUC